CCUACGGGUGGCAGCAGUGGGGAAUAUUGGACAAUGGGGGCAACCCUGAUCCAGCCAUGCCGCGUGUGUGAAGAAGGCCCUCGGGUUGUAAAGCACUUUCAGUGAGGAAGAACGCCUGGUGGUUAAUACCCAUCAGGAAAGACAUCACUCACAGAAGAAGCACCGGCUAACUCCGUGCCAGCAGCCGCGGUAAUACGGAGGGUGCGAGCGUUAAUCGGAAUUACUGGGCGUAAAGCGCGCGUAGGUGGCUUGAUAAGCCGGUUGUGAAAGCCCCGGGCUCAACCUGGGAACGGCAUCCGGAACUGUCAAGCUAGAGUGGGGGAGAGGGAGGUAGAAUUCCCGGUGUAGCGGUGAAAUGCGUAGAGAUCGGGAGGAAUACCAGUGGCGAAGGCGGCCUUCUGGACUGACACUGACACUGAGGUGCGAAAGCGUGGGUAGCAAACAGGAUUAGAUACCCUUGUAGUC
rnacentral:rRNA from 1 species